ACGCUGGCGGCAGGCCUAACACAUGCAUUCGAGCGGCAGCGACAACAUUGACCCUUCGGGGGAUUUGUUGGGCGGCGAGCGGCGGACGGGUGAGUAAUGCCUGGGAACAUGCCUUACUGUGGGGGAUAACCAUUGGAAACGAUGGCUAAUACCGCAUAAUCUCUACGGAGCAAAGAGGGGGACCUUCGGGCCUCUCGCGCUAAGAUUGGCCCAGGUGGGAUUAGCUAGUAGGUGGGGUAACGGCUCACCUAGGCGACGAUCCCUAACUGGUCUGAGAGGAUGAUCAGCCACACUGGAACUGAGACACGGUCCAGACUCCUACGGGAGGCAGCAGUGGGGAAUAUUGCACAAUGGGGGAAACCCUGAUGCAGCCAUGCCGCGUGUGUGAAGAAGGCCUUCGGGUUGUAAAGCACUUUCAGCAGUGAGGAAGGCGGUAUCGUUAAUAGCGGUAUCGUUUGACGUUAGCUGCAGAAGAAGCACCGGCUAACUCCGUGCCAGCAGCCGCGGUAAUACGGAGGGUGCGAGCGUUAAUCGGAAUUACUGGGCGUAAAGCGCAUGCAGGCGGCUUGUUAAGCCAGAUGUGAAAGCCCGGGGCUCAACCUCGGAAUCGCAUUUGGAACUGGCCGCUAGAGUCUUGUAGAGGGGGGUAGAAUUCCGGUGUAGCGGUGAAAUGCGU
rnacentral:rRNA from 1 species